GGUUAAGCGACUAAGCGUACACGGUGGAUGCCCUGGCAGUCAGAGGCGAUGAAGGACGUGCUAAUCUGCGAUAAGCGUCGGUAAGGUGAUAUGAACCGUUAUAACCGGCGAUUUCCGAAUGGGGAAACCCAGUGUGUUUCGACACACUAUCAUUAACUGAAUCCAUAGGUUAAUGAGGCGAACCGGGGGAACUGAAACAUCUAAGUACCCCGAGGAAAAGAAAUCAACCGAGAUUCCCCCAGUAGCGGCGAGCGAACGGGGAGCAGCCCAGAGCCUGAAUCAGUGUGUGUGUUAGUGGAAGCGUCUGGAAAGGCGCGCGAUACAGGGUGACAGCCCCGUACACAAAAAUGCACAUGCUGUGAGCUCGAUGAGUAGGGCGGGACACGUGGUAUCCUGUCUGAAUAUGGGGGGACCAUCCUCCAAGGCUAAAUACUCCUGACUGACCGAUAGUGAACCAGUACCGUGAGGGAAAGGCGAAAAGAACCCCGGCGAGGGGAGUGAAAAAGAACCUGAAACCGUGUACGUACAAGCAGUGGGAGCACGCUUAGGCGUGUGACUGCGUACCUUUUGUAUAAUGGGUCAGCGACUUAUAUUCUGUAGCAAGGUUAACCGAAUAGGGGAGCCGAAGGGAAACCGAGUCUUAACUGGGCGUUAAGUUGCAGGGUAUAGACCCGAAACCCGGUGAUCUAGCCAUGGGCAGGUUGAAGGUUGGGUAACACUAACUGGAGGACCGAACCGACUAAUGUUGAAAAAUUAGCGGAUGACUUGUGGCUGGGGGUGAAAGGCCAAUCAAACCGGGAGAUAGCUGGUUCUCCCCGAAAGCUAUUUAGGUAGCGCCUCGUGAAUUCAUCUCCGGGGGUAGAGCACUGUUUCGGCAAGGGGGUCAUCCCGACUUACCAACCCGAUGCAAACUGCGAAUACCGGAGAAUGUUAUCACGGGAGACACACGGCGGGUGCUAACGUCCGUCGUGAAGAGGGAAACAACCCAGACCGCCAGCUAAGGUCCCAAAGUCAUGGUUAAGUGGGAAACGAUGUGGGAAGGCCCAGACAGCCAGGAUGUUGGCUUAGAAGCAGCCAUCAUUUAAAGAAAGCGUAAUAGCUCACUGGUCGAGUCGGCCUGCGCGGAAGAUGUAACGGGGCUAAACCAUGCACCGAAGCUGCGGCAGCGACACUAUGUGUUGUUGGGUAGGGGAGCGUUCUGUAAGCCUGUGAAGGUGUACUGUGAGGUAUGCUGGAGGUAUCAGAAGUGCGAAUGCUGACAUAAGUAACGAUAAAGCGGGUGAAAAGCCCGCUCGCCGGAAGACCAAGGGUUCCUGUCCAACGUUAAUCGGGGCAGGGUGAGUCGACCCCUAAGGCGAGGCCGAAAGGCGUAGUCGAUGGGAAACAGGUUAAUAUUCCUGUACUUGGUGUUACUGCGAAGGGGGGACGGAGAAGGCUAUGUUGGCCGGGCGACGGUUGUCCCGGUUUAAGCGUGUAGGCUGGUUUUCCAGGCAAAUCCGGAAAAUCAAGGCUGAGGCGUGAUGACGAGGCACUACGGUGCUGAAGCAACAAAUGCCCUGCUUCCAGGAAAAGCCUCUAAGCAUCAGGUAACAUCAAAUCGUACCCCAAACCGACACAGGUGGUCAGGUAGAGAAUACCAAGGCGCUUGAGAGAACUCGGGUGAAGGAACUAGGCAAAAUGGUGCCGUAACUUCGGGAGAAGGCACGCUGAUAUGUAGGUGAAGUCCCUCGCGGAUGGAGCUGAAAUCAGUCGAAGAUACCAGCUGGCUGCAACUGUUUAUUAAAAACACAGCACUGUGCAAACACGAAAGUGGACGUAUACGGUGUGACGCCUGCCCGGUGCCGGAAGGUUAAUUGAUGGGGUCAGCGCAAGCGAAGCUCUUGAUCGAAGCCCCGGUAAACGGCGGCCGUAACUAUAACGGUCCUAAGGUAGCGAAAUUCCUUGUCGGGUAAGUUCCGACCUGCACGAAUGGCGUAAUGAUGGCCAGGCUGUCUCCACCCGAGACUCAGUGAAAUUGAACUCGCUGUGAAGAUGCAGUGUACCCGCGGCAAGACGGAAAGACCCCGUGAACCUUUACUAUAGCUUGACACUGAACAUUGAGCCUUGAUGUGUAGGAUAGGUGGGAGGCUUUGAAGUGUGGACGCCAGUCUGCAUGGAGCCGACCUUGAAAUACCACCCUUUAAUGUUUGAUGUUCUAACGUUGACCCGUAAUCCGGGUUGCGGACAGUGUCUGGUGGGUAGUUUGACUGGGGCGGUCUCCUCCUAAAGAGUAACGGAGGAGCACGAAGGUUGGCUAAUCCUGGUCGGACAUCAGGAGGUUAGUGCAAUGGCAUAAGCCAGCUUGACUGCGAGCGUGACGGCGCGAGCAGGUGCGAAAGCAGGUCAUAGUGAUCCGGUGGUUCUGAAUGGAAGGGCCAUCGCUCAACGGAUAAAAGGUACUCCGGGGAUAACAGGCUGAUACCGCCCAAGAGUUCAUAUCGACGGCGGUGUUUGGCACCUCGAUGUCGGCUCAUCACAUCCUGGGGCUGAAGUAGGUCCCAAGGGUAUGGCUGUUCGCCAUUUAAAGUGGUACGCGAGCUGGGUUUAGAACGUCGUGAGACAGUUCGGUCCCUAUCUGCCGUGGGCGCUGGAGAAUUGAGGGGGGCUGCUCCUAGUACGAGAGGACCGGAGUGGACGCAUCACUGGUGUUCGGGUUGUCAUGCCAAUGGCACUGCCCGGUAGCUAAAUGCGGAAGAGAUAAGUGCUGAAAGCAUCUAAGCACGAAACUUGCCCCGAGAUGAGUUCUCCCUGACUCCUUGAGAGUCCUGAAGGAACGUUGAAGACGACGACGUUGAUAGGCCGGGUGUGUAAGCGCAGCGAUGCGUUGAGCUAACCGGUACUAAUGAACCGUGAGGCUUAACCUU
rnacentral:rRNA from 1 species